GAUGAACGCUGGCGGCGUGCCUAACACAUGCAAGUCGAACGGAGUCCAGCCUUUAAGACCUUCGGGUCAAAGAGGGGAAGACUGAGUGGCGGACGGGUGAGUAACACGUGGGCAACCUGGCUCAUAGAGGGGGAUAACAGAGAGAAAUUUCUGCUAAUACCUCAUAAGCACACACUGCCGCAUUGCAGAGGGUGAAAAGAGAAUCGCUAUGAGAUGGACCCGCGUCUGAUUAGCCAGUUGGCAGGGUAAGAGCCUACCAAAGCGACGAUCAGUAGCCGAUCUGAGAGGAUGAACGGCCACAUUGGGACUGAGACACGGCCCAAACUCCUACGGGAGGCAGCAGUGGGGGAUAUUGCACAAUGGGGGGAACCCUGAUGCAGCGACGCCGCGUGAGUGAAGAAGUAUUUCGGUAUGUAAAGCUCUAUCAGCAGGGAAGAUAAUGACAGUACCUGAAUAAGAAGCCCCGGCUAACUACGUG
rnacentral:rRNA from 1 species